UACAUUUCAGUUUUUGGAAUUUGGGCUUUGGGGGCUUAAGGAUUAAAAGUGUAA
rnacentral:tRNA from 1 species